rnacentral:rRNA from 1 species
UACGGAGGGUGCAAGCGUUGUUCGGAAUUACUGGGCGUAAAGCGUACGUAGGCGGAUUAGUAAGUUAGGGGUGAAAUCCCAGGGCUCAACCCUGGAACUGCCUCUAAUACUGCUAGUCUUGAGUUCGAGAGAGGUGAGUGGAAUUCCGAGUGUAGAGGUGAAAUUCGUAGAUAUUCGGAGGAACACCAGUGGCGAAGGCGGCUCACUGGCUCGAUACUGACGCUGAGGUACGAAAGUGUGGGGAGCAAAC